UACGGAGGAGGCAAGCGUUAUCCGGAAUUAUUGGGCGUAAAGCGUCCGUAGGUGGCUAGUCAAGUCUGCGGUCAAAGUCUGGGGCUUAACCCUGGAAAGGCCGUGGAAACUGACGAGCUAGAGUGCAGUAGGGGUAGAGGGAAUUCCCGGUGUAGCGGUGAAAUGCGUAGAGCUCGGGAAGAACAUCGGUGGCGAAAGCGCUCUACUGGACUGCAACUGACACUCAGGGACGAAAGCUAGGGGAGCGAAUGGG
rnacentral:rRNA from 1 species